UACGAAGGGGGCUAGCGUUGUUCGGAAUUACUGGGCGUAAAGCGCGCGCAGGCGGCCUUCCAAGUCAGUGGUGAAAGCCCGGAGCUCAACUCCGGAACUGCCAUUGAAACUGUAAGACUUGAGGAUGAGAGAGGUGAGUGGAAUUCCCAGUGUAGAGGUGAAAUUCGUAGAUAUUGGGAAGAACACCGGUGGCGAAGGCGGCUCACUGGCUCAUUUCUGACGCUCAGGCGCGACAGCGUGGGGAUCAAACAGG
rnacentral:rRNA from 1 species